GACGAACGCUGGCGGCAGGCCUAACACAUGCAAGUCGAGCGGAGCGGCGGACGGGUGCGUAAUGCCUAGGAAUCUGCCUGGUCGUGGGGGAUAACGUCCGGAAACGGGCGCUAUUACCGCUUACUAUCAGAUUAGCCUAGGUCGGAUUAGCUUGUUGGUGGGGUAAAGGCCUACCAAGGCGACGAUCCGUAACUGGUCUGAGAGGAUGAUCAGUCACACUGGAACUGAGACACGGUCCAGACUCCUACGGGAGGCAGCAGUGGGGAAUAUUGGACAAUGGGCGAAAGCCUGAUGCAGCCAUGCCGCGUGUGUGAAGAAGGUCUUCGGAUUGUAAAGCACUUUAAGUUGGGAGGCGUUACCCACAGAAGAAGCACCGGCUAACUUCGUGCCAGCAGCCGCGGUAAUAC
rnacentral:rRNA from 1 species